rnacentral:rRNA from 1 species
AGCGGCGUCGNGAGAGGUGACCGGCCACAUUGGGACUGAGACACGGCCCAGACUCCUACGGGAGGCAGCAG